UACGGAGGGUGCAAGCGUUGUCCGGAAUCACUGGGCGUAAAGGGCGCGUAGGCGGCUCGGUAAGCGUGUGGUGAAAGCCUGGGGCUCAACCCCGGGUCGGCCAUGCGAACUGUCGAGCUGGAGCACUGUAGAGGCAGGCGGAAUUCCGGGUGUAGCGGUGGAAUGCGUAGAGAUCCGGAAGAACACCGGUGGCGAAGGCGGCCUGCUGGGCAGUAGCUGACGCUGAGGCGCGACAGCGUGGGGAGCAAACAGG
rnacentral:rRNA from 1 species